AGAGGUUUGNCCAUCAUUGGCUCAGGAUGAACGCUAGCGGCAGGCCUAAUACAUGCAAGUCGAACGGUGUCUAGCAAUAGGCAUAGUGGCGCACGGGUGCGUAACGCGUAACCAACCUACCCACAACUGGGGGAUAGCCCGCCGAAAGGCGGAUUAAUACCGCAUAAGCUUUGGAAUUGGCAUCAGUUCUUUAGUAAAGAUUUAUUGGUUGUGGAUGGGGUUGCGUGCCAUUAGCUAGUUGGUGAGGUAACGGCUCACCAAGGCGACGGUGGCUAGGGGAGCUGAGAGGCUGGUCCCCCACACGGGCACUGAGAUACGGGCCCGACUCCUACGGGAGGCAGCAGUAGGGAAUAUUGGGCAAUGGCCGAGAGGCUGACCCAGCCAUGCCGCGUGCAGGAUGAAGGCUUUCUGAGUCGUAAACUGCUUUUAUCAGGGAAGAAUAAGGCUCAUGCGUGGGCUGAUGACGGUACCUGAGGNAAUAAGCACCGGCUAACUCCGUGCCAGCAGCCGCGGUAAUACG
rnacentral:rRNA from 1 species